UUGUUGCAGUUAAAAAGCUCGUAGUUGGACCUUGGGCAGGAGGCACGGGUUGGCCGAAUGGCUCGACUCGGGUCUCCGGCCUCCAUGGGUGGUCGUGCCUUUGGUACGGUUCGCCCGGGUUACUGUGAAGAAAUUAGAGUGUUUAAAGCAAGCGAUUGCUUGGAUACAUCAGCAUGGAAUAACAAGAUAGGACCUGGUUCCACUCGUUGGUUUGGGGGCUUUGGUAAUGAUUAAUAGGGCCAGUUGGGGGCAUUAGUAUUCAGUAGUCAGAGGUGAAAUUCUUGGAUUUACUGAAGACUAACUAGUGCGAAAGCAUUUGCCAAGGAUGUUUUCAUUAAUCAAGAACGAAAGUUAGGGGAUCGAAGACGAUCAGAUACCGUCGUAGUCUUAACUAUAAACGAUGCCGACUCGGGAUCGGCAGACGUCGUUAGCGACACUGUCGGCACCGUGUGAGAAAUCAAAGUUUUUGGGUUCUGGGGGGAGUAUGGUCGCAAGGCUGAAACUUAAAGGAAUUGACGGAAGGGCACCACCAGGAGUGGAGCCUGCGGCUUAAUUUGACUCAACACGGGAAAACUCACCAGGUCCGGACAUAGUAAGGAUUGACAGAUUGAGAGCUCUUUCUUGAUUCUGU
rnacentral:rRNA from 1 species